GGUUUUGUUUAGUUAAAAGUUAGCCAUCGCUACUACUUCGUGUAAUCGCGUGUGUCGGUUAGACCACCUGUUUUACCGCUUUCGGAACCCCAACUUAUCGUCUCGUUGAGACAUUGGUUUGAUAUAGUAUAUUCGCAAUUUUAGAUUGCAUCCGCUAUUUAUCUUGUUCUUGCUUGUUCUUCGAUUGUUUGCAGGAACAAAGACCUUCGUGGUCAGGUUGAUCGUGCCCCCGCGUGAUCAAUAACCCUCUGGAGUUGGUGUAUCGAUUGCUAAGGCGCUGCCUGCUAAGCCGUAGUCGGAUCGUCAACGUCACCUCCUACCCAAAUCGAGAGUUAUCAAUCUCAUCGAAAGAUCGGGCCACCCGCACCCGUAUCAGUAGCAUUCGCCGGGAAGAAAAGAAUGAAAAAAAAAGAAAAUUGUCUUCCCGUUUCAUAGACCAAGAGUCCUGCGACAAACAUUCUACUCAUAAUUUUUUGCUUUAAUUUGAAGCUGAAUCGGCAGCGGUAUCCCAUUUCAGUCCUCACAGUCCUUCUGCUCCAUCCAAAUCACCUGCCAAGUCAUCAUGCUCUUUCUUUUUGAAAGGAUGUCCGUGUUGUUCAUUGCUCAAUAUCAAUUAAUAGUUAUUUCACCUACAAGUAUACAAUUGUGUCGUGUAACUAAGCC
rnacentral:lncRNA from 1 species